UUGGUCUGAUGCACAUUUUACACUAUCCUGGAAUGCAGCAAUGAAUCCUGGGUUAUUGUUUCAGUCUGUCAUUGUAUUUUUGGAAAGUG
ensembl:miRNA Mir687 microRNA 687